AUUCGUAUUUUAUAAUCACUGAUUAAUCACCGGUUAAUUUAGGCCUCUCUUUAGGUUGGGUUGCCAAAUAUUGGAGACAGAGACAAAUUUAAAAUUCCCAACAAAUCUAACCCAACAUAGGUGACCACACUUUCAUUGCUGCAAACCAUACUAAACUUUUUAGCUUACAUUUCAUUCACUUCUGCCAAAUUUACAACCUAGCAAUGUUUUAGUUGUAAAAUUUUGUUAGAUUUUUGCUACGCCGUUAUUCAGUUACCA
rnacentral:lncRNA from 1 species